AUUUUCCUCCCUUUACCCACCUCAUCUUCUACCAAAAUAAUCAGGAAAAUUUUCCGCCGGAAAAUCCCCCAGAAUUUUCCCUUCUUCUCAAAUGAAGAAAUCAGGAAUUGUGAUUGCUUCUGUAACUGCAGCUUCUGCUACUGCUAUUUCUUCUUCAACUUCUUCUUCUUCUUCUUCUAAAGUUCGAAUUUCUCGUCAUCAGGAUGAUAGUUUGAAGAAGAAGAAGAAGAAUGGAAAUUCUUCAAAGUCAGUGUCAGCACCUGCAUCUUCAGAUAAAUUUGCUCCAAAAUUUGAUGGAUUAAGAUUUAUUGAGACACUGGUUACUGCUCACAGAUAAGUUAAAUUUCGGCGAAUUCUUGAGUUUUUAUAAGGGGCAGUAAAAUUUUUGACGGAUUUAUAGGAAAUAUCAGAGAAAAAAAAUGAAUUUGUAUGAUAAUUACCCAUUUUUCUUGAAUUUUUAUCUUUUUCGUUUUUUAUUUGGGGUUACUGAAUUUUCAUUUCCUGAUUCCUGUUAUGAGUUGUCUGUAUAACUCAAUUAGCCAAUUGAUGACUCUGUAUUGAGGGCUCUGUUUUUCUAGUUCAAUUGUAGAGGAACAGAAAAGUUGAAGGAACAAAAGUAGCUUUUUCCUAUUGAUUUUUGGAUUCUUUUUUA